rnacentral:rRNA from 1 species
ACGAACGCUGGCGGCGUGCUUAACACAUGCAAGUCGUACGGUAAGGCCCUUUCGGGGGUCCCCGAGUGGCGAACGGGUGAGUAACACGUGAGUAACCUGCCCACAACUUUGGGAUAACGCUAGGAAACUGGUGCUAAUACUGGAUAUGUGCUCCUGCUGCAUGGUGGGGGUUGGAAAGCUCCGGCGGUUGUGGAUGGACUCGCGGCCUAUCAGCUUGUUGGUGGGGUAGUGGCCUACCAAGGCGGCGACGGGUAGCCGGCCUGAGAGGGUGACCGGCCACAUUGGGACUGAGAUACGGCCCAGACUCCUACGGGAGGCAGCAGUGGGGAAUAUUGCACAAUGGGCGCAAGCCUGAUGCAGCAACGCCGCGUGCGGGAUGACGGCCUUCGGGUUGUAAACCGCUUUCAGCAGGGACGAAGCUUUUUGUGACGGUACCUGCAGAAGAAGCACCGGCUAACUACGUG